UCCCCCCCUGCUGUAUGGUAACAGCCUCACUCCCUCAUUACCUCUCCCCCUCCUUGUCAGUGCCACACUCAGUGGCUUGUAUACCCUCCUGUACCAGAUGACCAGCCUCACCAGAGUCGCCAAGAUACACGCUGCCGAGGCCGCGCACAGCAGCAGGCAGCCUGCGAAAAGCCAGAUACAGAACACCCCCGCACCUCCCACAGCGGCACCACGUCGCCGGCUGCCCGGUUCAUGGAUCACCCACGAAGGGAUCGUUGCUGUGGCUACCCGGAGUUUCUGUGUCCCCACAGGUUUUGUUGGCGUCGCGGUUUUCCUGUUAGUAAGACUUUCAGUUGAAGGUCUGACGGUGGGAAGAGUGGAAUGACUGGCCAAGGUAUGCGACCCAACCAACGGCACUUCAGUCUUCACCACUGACCCCGAAUCAUUUGACCAUUCGGUGCGUUUGGUGAAGGAUUGGUACCAGGACCAUGUGACUACUCUGUGGUACGCAGUGUGGGGUUCUUCUACGAAUGCUGGGGUAGCGGUUGAAGUGGUAACAGGAGCAGUAGUAUGAAUAGGAGAAGUAGGAGGAAGAGGCGGAGGAGGAGGAGAAGGAGAAGGAAUGUUGGCAGCAGCUGGAACAGGAGCAGUAGUAUGAAUAGGAGGAGGAGGAGUAGGAGGAAUGUUGGUAGCAGCUGGAACAGGAGCAGUAGUAUGAAUAGGAGGAGGAGGAGUAGGAGGAAUGUUGGUAGCAGCUGGAAAAGGAGCAGUAGUAUGAAUAGGAGGAGGAGGAGUAGGAGGAAUGUUGGUAGCAGCUGGAACAGUGAUAGCAACAGUAGCUGCCUUGUAGGGAGCGUCGGUCGUCACUGGCUCGUAGAAGUCUCCUGGUGCAGGUGAACAGAAAUCAGAUUCUCCCAGACUCAUUACAGGUUUACCUUUAUGCCACUGUGGAGAGUCACACACCUGAGAACAAAGAACAACCAUCAACAAUGUAUCCCGAAAAUCCCCAAAUCCUUUAGACUUGGGUUUGGAGUAUUUUCGUGCUUUCAUGUUCCCCUUUUCUGCAGCUGUUUUUUCCCAUGUGUGGUACUUACCACACUCUCUGCGUCACUCUUGAUGAGCGGGCCAUCCCGGACAUAGACGUUGAGUUCAUAGUCGUCAAGGUAUCUACGCAAGUAACCGAGGGAGCAGGAGCAGGCCCAGGGAUUGGCUGAGAGGUAUAGGUAUGGCACUUCCUCCUUCUGGCUGAACCAAUUGUCUGGCAUCACCGUGAUCUGGAGGGAAAAGGAAAUGUCGUGAAGCUUUAGACACACCAACUUGAGCUCCCGUACCGCCUCGAUCUGACUGAGUUUUUGCUCAAAUACGUGCAAAGCUCUGUGGUCAGUGUUCUCCCACCUUGUUUUUCUCCAGGUAGAGGGUCUCAAUGGCAGGAAGGGGGUGGAGCAUGAGCUCGGGAAGCACCUUGAUCUGAUUUGAAGACAAAUCCAGGAUCUAGAGGGUAGGACAGCCAGUCAAUUGCGGAGUCAAGUGUUUGACAGUUGAAAGUAUCCUGGUGUUGCUGGUGUGAAAACUAAGCUAGCAUGCUACCUUCACAGUAUGUGCCCUGACUUCCUAACAUGCCGUGUUCACAUGCAUUUUUCUCAGCUAACAGGCUACUGUUAACAUGCUAACACACUGACCUCCAGCUUGCUGAGUCCAGAGAAGGUGCGGUCACUCAGAGAGUCUAUGGCGUUGUUGUCCAGGUAGAGUUCGGUCAGACCCGGACAGGCAGAGAAGGAGCCAUCAGAGAGGGAUGUUAGACUGUUGGAGCCCAGUCGGAGAACACUGAGGCUGGGCAGGAUUGGAGAAACACUGGAGGUCACCUCAGGAACCUGCACACACGACAAUUUGAGACGAUCAAGUGUUGAAUGAAACAUGUUUCAUUUAAUACUGACAUCAACAGAGUUUAACAUCAUUGAUCCAGCAUUUAUUUUUAUUUUCAUGGGCGUGGUGCAGACAGACACCUUGUUGCCUGUGAGGUCGAUCUCAUAGAUCUCUGUGAAGAUCUGGAAGGAGGACCAGGACAGACUGGAGAAUAGGUUGUUGGGAAACAACAGAACCUAAAAGCAGAGAGAGAGUAGAAGAAGAAAACCAUUUAGAGUUGUUCCUGUCAAACUGUCAUCUUGUCGCUCUCAAACAGGAAGCUGUGGUCUGGAGUUGAGCUCUGACGGUCAGGAUAAGACCGCCGUCUGGAUCCCUGAAAGCCGUGUGAUCAUCUCAUUUACAGUGUUUUACAGACUUUUGGUCCACCUCCUCGUAGAUCUGUAUGAGCAUCUGGUCCCAGCGGUCCUGCUUCACUCAGCAGAAUGUCGUCUGCAGACGAUUCCAGAACGUCGCUCACAUUUCAACACCUCUUAUUGUUCCACAGCAUGUCGGAUGUUUAAUCGUGGGACACAGUUCACUGCAUCAAACAUGAUUAUUAUAUUUGAAUAAUUUAGUGUGAUUUCGUGUGUCUUGUUAUGUAGAGACACAUAUUAAUAUCGAGAAAUUAUCCAUAUUAAUACUGCGACUGAUCGUAUCGCCCAGCCCUGGCGUGCACUCGUAAGCAUCAGUUUGACUCAAAGUCCACAGACGUCCUGGUAGAAACACAGAGGGGACUGUCAUGUCUUUUUCCUGUCAGGACUAAAAGGACAGACUGGAGUCCCUGGACGUCGCUCGUCUCUGUCCUGGUCCAGCUGCCGUCUGUGCUUCUGGCGCUCUUACCUUGGUCGAGGGUUCGAAUCCCGCCGGGACGUCGCUGAAGCCGGCCGCCGUGCAGUUCUCCCUCGGCCGGUGGUCCUUGUCCCUGUCGCUGUGGCAGCCGGAUACCACGGUAACCACUGCAACGUGGGACAGGAGGAAGAGGAUGAUGAAGACCAGCAUUCUGACAAAGACCUUCAGCUCCUGAAAGAAAGUCUGAGUCUGAGAAGAGAAACCAAACAUACCAGGAAGUAUCUGUGUGUGUGUGUGUGUGUGUGUGUGUGUGUGUGUGUGUGUGUGUGUGUGUGCUUUUGUCUGUGUGUGUGCUUUUGUCUGUGUGUGUGCGUGUGUCUGUGUGUGUGUGUAUGUGUGUGUGGUUUGAUUGACAGGUGCUGGAGCAGGAAACCCUCAGAGUUCAGCUGUUGUCCUGCUGAUUACUGCCCCCUGCUCUCUGAUAACUUUGUGUGUGUGUGUGUGUGAUAUAUGGUCUGUACUUCGUUCUGCUGCCCCCAUGUGGUCACAUGUGGACUGGACUUGAAUAUCAGUUUCAGUUUAGAUAACAGCUGCUUCACUUUCAUUCCACAGAAUCAGCUCAGCUCACUGCAGCUCUCAGCCUGGCUCGGCUCGGCUCGGCUCGGCUCUCUGGCUCUCAGCUGUCAUGAUGCUGAAGGUUUUCCUCUCGUGCUGCCUGCUCUCCCCCCUCGUCUCUGCGCUGAAAGGUGAGUUCAGUCCUGUCGGGACAGGUCGAUCAGCUGGAGCUCGUUUCUGCUGACAGACAGGUGAGCUGCUCGGCAGGUGAUGGUCCUGAUUCAAGUCCCGUUUCUGUGACUGUUGAUGAGUGAGCGGACAGAGAAGAAUGACAUGAGAGAUGCUCUGAUGACGAGGUGAAAGUGAAAGUGUUGCUGCAGCAGGAUGAUGCGCUCCAUUAAAUCCGUGUGCAAAGGUGGGCGUGGCCGCUCACGUGUCUGCUCACAACUCGAGCUGCCUGAGCAGUCCUGAUCCGCCUGGAGGACUGGACUCUGCUGCCAAAGGUGGUUCAGAUCCCAGAUCCAGUUCACACCUAGUUACUGAAGGUCUGCAGGCUUUGUGACUGUGUUUCAAGUUGUCACUUCCUGUGUUGAAUAUCAUUGAAUGUUUGCUUCAGUGACAGCAUGUCAUAUGAAAUAAUGCUGAGAAUAACAUUGUAUUGAUUGUUACAAAUCGUAUUAGUAACGUGUGAUAUUAGUUCAUUAUUGUUAAAAGUAACAUGAAACUGUCACAUGUUGGUUUUUCUUUCUGCAUGUGUUUUAUAAGAAAUAAAUAUGAAGUCGCAGGCAGGAAUUCCUGGAUAUUGUGUGUUUGUGCUCAACCCUGAUGUCAGCAGACUGAUUCAUCAACAUGUCAGGAUGUGGACAGACUGGACGCUGUGACGGCGUCGACGAUGACCAGGUUCAGGUAUCAUUUUGGUCCUGACCUUCUCUCAGCGUCACAUGUUUGCUGGGAGGUUUGACCUGUUUCCUGAUGUGUGUUCCAGACACCUGACCCAGACCCUCAGGAGCUAAAGGUGAAGCCUGAGCAGGACGUCACUCUUCAGUGUCGGGCUCCCAGAGGUUCCUCCAUCACACUGGUGGAGUGGAACAGAGCUGACCUGAGGUCAGACGGUUACCUGUUCUUUUACCGUAACGAGCGCUCGUACGAAAACUUCCAGCAUCCGUCUUUUCGUGGUCGAGUGAAGCUGAGGGAUCCAGAGAUGAAGGACGGAGACGCUUCUGUUGUUCUGAGGAACGUCACCGUCAACGACACCGGAACAUACGAGUGUCGAAUCAUAAUCAUCAACACAGGACGCGCUGAGGCGGAGCCCGCUGUGAUCAAACACCUCAUCAACCUCAAAGUUACAGAGCCAGCUGGAAACACCUGGAGUGGAGUAAACAGGGGUGGAUAUGUUGGACUGGUCGUCCCGUCAGCUGCUGCUGCUGUUGGCUUUCUUGCUGUUGUUGUUUGUAUUUUCUGUUUUAUUUGUAAGAAACGUGAGCAGAAGUCAUUCAGAGCUCCUCCUGAAGAGGAAGGUGAGCAGGAGGCCUGAAGAGGCUCACAUCUCUUUACUCCUGAACGCUUGUCUUUAGGAAGGUUUAAUGAAGUGAACUCAGACAGGAAGUGGUCACAUCCAGGUAAACCUGACUUCCUGAACACUUCCUGACUGAAAGCCCUGAAGGUAAACGUCUGCUAAAGAACUGCUGUUUAAUUCAUGUUCAGUGUGUUUCAAUUAGUGCUCUCUCUGAUCUUUACUGUUUUUCAUGACGAGCAUUUUUAUAUAUUUAGUUUAAUUGUAACAUUAGCUGUGAUUAUUGGUUAUUAAUCAUCAGCGUCAACAGCACGGAGCAGAAAGCAGACAUCAAUAAAUGACAACGUGACAGAGAAACAAAACCGCAGUGAGUCAUAAGAAGUAACUCAGAACAAUAAAUGCAGAUAAAUACAUAAAAGAUCCCUUCAUGAACACGAGGACAGACGAUCAGGAGUAAAGGAGUCGAACAGUGAAGCGUUUUCCUCUGCAUGUGCAGGUUUCACUCCCUGAAUGUUCUCACCAUCCAUGUUGCAAAGCACUUUAUUACACCACUGCAAGCUUUUAUUUAUUCUGUUAAUGAACUUCUGAACACGUUUCCUUUGUGUUAAUGAGGAGUUAUAUACAUAAAUAUAUAUAUAUAUAAAACAAUGAAAAGCAUUUAUCGACGCGGUGGAACCACAUGAAGCCUGAUCCUGGUUCAAGUUCAAUAAAAACUCAUAAU